rnacentral:rRNA from 1 species
UACGAACUGUGCAAACGUUAUUCGGAAUCACUGGGCUUACAGGGUGCGUAGGCGGCUUGUUAAGUAGGGUGUGAAAGCCCCCCGGCUCAACCGGGGAAUUGCGCCCUAAACUGGCGAGCUGGAGUGAGAUAGGGGUGUGUGGAACUUCCGGUGGAGCGGUGAAAUGUGUUGAUAUCGGAAGGAACGCCGGUGGCGAAAGCGACACACUGGAUCUUGUCUGACGCUGAGGCACGAAAGCCAGGGGAGCGAACGGG